rnacentral:misc_RNA from 1 species
ACCACAAAGCUAAUUGACACAGUAAAGAGCCCCAGAAGUAGAAGAUUCACCGGAUACGACUGAUGAUAAUAAUACAUCGGAAUCAUCACGAUGAAGGGGAGGAAGAUGCAUAAGAUGUAAAUCCCGAGACCGGUGCCGGAGGAGACGAAGAAGUGUGAGAUCGGGUGAACGGUGACGACAACGGCGGAGACGGCGACAGAGAGGAGCAUCUGGAUGGCGAUGAUGGAGUAGAUCUUGCGGAUGAAGGCCCAGCGGAGCUCCGGCGGCUCCAGCAUCAUCGGAUACAGAAGCGGCGCGGCACCGGACUCGACGUCCGACCCCGGCUUCCCAUACGG